UAAAGAUAAAACUUAUAUCAGAUAUUUACCUGAGUACUAUGAAUAUUUAAUAAAUUUAAAACUCAAAGGGCUUGGCGGUGUUCUAGACUUUUUAGGGGAACCUGUCUCAUAAUCGACAAUCCACGUUAAACCUAACCUUAGUUUGUAAUAUCAGUAUGUAUACCGUCGUCGGCAGGUAACUUUUAAGAAAACAAUAGUUAGCAAGAAAAUAAAGAUAUAUUAAGACGUCAGAUCAAGGUGCAGCUAAUACUAAGGAGAGGAUGGGUUACAAUUAAUAAUUAUAACUACGAAUAAAAAAGUGAAAUCUUUUUUUAAAGGAGGACUUAAAAGUAAGUAUAAAAAUAGAUAAAUUUAUUGAAUAUAGCUCUGGAACGUGC
rnacentral:rRNA from 1 species